rnacentral:misc_RNA from 1 species
AUAAAAAUGAAUCAAAGGAUUAGUAAUUAAUUAUUACAUGACUCAGAGAGUGUGCGGUCGCUGUGAGCACAUCAUUAAUAUUAAUGAAUGCACCUUUGUUGAACUAAGAUGAAUAAUACAAAUGAGAGUAACGCUAACAUUUUAAAGUUUCGUUACUAAAUGAAGAGUGGAACCGUGCUAAGAGCGCCUCUAAC